UGCUUCGUAGCCGAAGAUUCUAGAAAGAACACCUUCGAAAGGUCUUCUCAGAAGCAAGCGCCGAAGCUAUUAUCUAUAAAGCUUCGGCACAAAGACAAAUCUCAAGAUGAAGGGUCGAACCGACUUAAAGAUGAGUUGACUUAAAGACCCAUGAUGUUUUGUGUCAUUAUUGUAGUCGAUUGUAAAGGACAUAAAUGUAAUUUUGCGCAGGUUGCAUCCUGUGCCUAUAAAUAGGUGAACAGUAUCCCGACACUGUUCACACGAUCCUAUAAUCACGGACACAUUACGCUUGAAUUAUUGCUUUCCGCCAAGGUGAAGGUAUAAAUGUGCUUAAAUAUUAUGUUUUGAUACUUGUAUAUUCAUAUAAUAAAAACAUAUGAAAAUAUUUAUACUUUAUAUUGCAUUUUUCAUUGAUUGUUGUCUUACAAAUAUAAUCACGAAGGUGAAAUCUUCGUGAUACUUUACUUAUGACCUUCGUCCGAAGCUCAUUAAAUCCUUGGGGAGAUAAUGCUUCAGCGGACAAAGGGUGUUUAUACUUAACAUCUUUGUGUUGCCUUGUUCUUAAUUCGAAGCAUUUGAGAACAAGUCCCCAACAUUGGCGCCCACCUUCGGUGAACUCACUUCCACUUUCUGAGCUGAUGGCUUCGUUCAAAGCUGGAGUUGCUUUGGCUCCGAAGCUUGUACUCCCGAUAACAGGUGGUUCAUGCUCAGAGCCGGCUAAUAAGAAGCAGAAGGAGGAGGCACAGAGAAGGGUACAACAUGUAGGGGUGCAAGGACCCUUCAUCAAGUCAAGAUGGUCUCACAUCCCGAUUACCUUCUCCCAAGAGGAUCUUCAGCUCAAGGAUUACCCUCACAAUGAUGUUAUGGUUAUCUCUUGUGUUAUCAAAGGAUUUCUGGUCCGCAAUGUUUUGGUUGACAUAGGCAGUGCAGCGGAUAUUAUAUUUGCUAAGGCCUUCAGACAUAUGCAAGAGCCCGAAGAUAAGAUCCAUGACGCCACACAUCCCCUUUGUGGCUUCGGAGGAAGGUAGAUUGUAGCACUUGGCAAGAUCACGAUGCCAGUAACCUUCGGAUUUAUCAACAAUACAAGGACUGAACAAGUUGUGUUUGAUAUUGUUGACAUGGAGUACCCUUACAACGCAAUCAUUGGUCGUGGUACUCUCAAUGCUUUUGAAGCAAUUCUUCACCCAACAUAUCUUUGCAUGAAAAUAACUUCGGAUCAAUGGCCUAUUGCUAUUCAUGGAAGUCAGGAAGCUGCCAGAAAGGCCGAAGGAAACUGGAUAGAUUCAAAAGCAAUCCAUAACAUAGAUGGAGCUAAAGCUUGUGAGCAAUACAAGUACAGAAGGGAGAAAGCUGCUUCGGCCGAUCAGCCGAAGCCCAUGCUCUUAUGUGACGAUAUAGCAGAGCAGAAGGUGCUAUUGGGAUCUCAAUUGUCUGAGGAACAAGAGAAAACUCUGAUAAGGUUUCUGUUCAACAACAAAGAUGUCUUUGCAUGGUCAGCUAUUGAUCUCUGUGGAGUCAACAGGGAUGUUAUUGAACACUCGCUCAAUGUUGAUCCAUCCUUCAGACCUAGAAAGCAGAGGCUUCGGAAGAUGUCUGAUGACAAGGCCGAAGGUGCUCGGAAUGAAGUAAAAAGACUCCUUUGUGCCGGAGUCAUCAGAGAAGUGAAGUACCCAGAAUGGCUAGCCAACACUGUUAUGGUAAAAAAGGCCAAUGGCAAAUGGAGGAUGUGUAUUGAUUUUACUGAUCUCAACAAGGCUUGUCCGAAGGAUGAGUUUCCAUUACCAAGGAUAGAUUCCCUAGUUGACGCAGCAGCUUCGUCAGAGCUUAUGAGUCUGCUAGAUUGUUAUUCAGGCUAUCAUCAAAUUUGGAUGAAGAAAGAGGAUGAGCCAAAAACCAGCUUCAUAACCCCUAGUGGAACAUAUUGUUAUCUUCGGAUGCCUGAGGGGCUCAAGAAUGCUGGAGGAAGCUUCAGCAGAAUGACAGCGAAGGUUCUUCAUUCUCAGAUAGGCAGAAAUGUGCUAACUUAUGUUGAUGAUAUUAUAGUAAAAAGCACGAAGCAAGAAAAUCACAUUGCUGAUCUGCAGGAGACCUUCACUAAUUUUAGACAAGCCGGUCUGAAGCUGAAUCCAGAAAAGUGUGUCUUCGGAGUGAAGAAGGGGAAAUUCCUUGGUUGCCUAGUUUCAACAAAAGGGAUUGAGGCUAAUCCAAAUAAAAUCGAAGCUAUUCUUCGAAUGGAACCACCAAGCACAAAGAAGGGGGCUCAACGACUGACGGGAAGACUUGCAUCUCUGAAUCAAUUCAUAUCUAGAUCAGCAGAGAGAAAUUUACCAUUUUUUGAAGUGCUGAAGUCAGUCGAAGUUUUUCAAUGGGGGUCAGUUCAGCAGAAAGCCUUCGACGAGCUGAAGCAGUAUUUGAUAGAUCUAACGACAUUAACUCCACCAGCGCCAGGGGCUCCUCUGUUGUUAUAUGUGGCAGCUUCACACUCAGCGGUAAGUGCGGCACUUGUCCAAGAGAAGUUUGAAGGGCAAGCCAAAAAGCAAGCCCCAAUAUACUUCGUCUCCGAAGUCCUUAGUUUAUCAAAGAAAAACUAUACAGAAUUGGAGAAGGUGCUGUGUGCUGUUUUGAUGGCUUCCAGGAAACUUCAACAUUAUUUCCAAGCAUACCAUAUAAUUGUUCCUUCUUCACAACCUUUGAAGGAUAUUAUGAGAAAUAGAGAAGCUACUGGAAGGAUUGGGAAGUGGGCUGUGGAACUCAAUGAGUUCUGCAUUGAUUAUGUGCAUAGAUCUUCGAUUCAGUCCCAGGCGUUAGUAGACUUCAUUGCUGACUGGACGCCAGGGGCUCAGGAAGAAGAAGCAAGUAAAGAUGCCGAAGCUUGGACAGUAUUCUGCGAUGGUUCUUGGGGAACCUUCGGGGCAGGUGCAGCUGUCAUCUUAAUUGCACCUUCCAAAGUCAGAACAUGCUACGCAGUGAAACUUGAUUUUAGUUGUACAAAAAAUAUUGCUGAAUACGAAGCUUUGCUUUUGGGUCUUCGGAAGUUGAAAGCAAUGGGGAUAAGAAGGACGGUCCUAAAAACUGAUUCUCAAGUUAUUUCUGGCCAUGUUGACAAAAGUUGCAAAGCAAGAGAUCCGAAGCUUGAAAAAUAUUUGGAUACAGUUCGAAGACUUGAAGCCUCCUUCGAAGGGUUUUCUGUUAAGAAUAUUCCACGAGGAGAAAAUGAACACGCUGAUCUAUUAGCCAAGUCAGUAGCACAGGGGCUGCCAUUACCUUCGGAAGUUUUCUUUGAAACAAUAAAAGCACCUUCGGUUGACCUUCUUGAAACAGCAGUGCUCAAUAUAUCUUCUGUUUAUAGCGAAGAUUGGAGAACUGAGAUCAUGUCUUUUCUCCAGGGCAAUUUUCUUUCAGAUGACGAAGCUUAUCAAAAGAGAAUAGCGGCAAGAGCCCGUCCAUAUGUAAUAAUAGAAGGGGAGUUAUACAAGCAUGGGGUCUGUUCUCCAUUACUCAAAUGUUUAUCCAGAACUGAAGGUAUAGAGCUGAUGAAAGAAAUACAUGCAGGCCUGUGUGGAUCUCACAUCGGAUCCAGGCCUCUGUUGGGUAAAGUUUUUCGUCAAGGAUUCAAUUGGCCGAAGGCAGCUUCGGAUGCAGCAGAAUUAGUCCAAAAAUGCGAAGGUUGUCAAAGAUGUGCAAGAGAUCAAAAACAACCUUAAUCUCUAACUCAAUUAAUACAACCCACUUGGCCAUUGCAAAGAUGGGGCCUUGAUUUGCUAGGCCCACUUCCACCAGCACAAGGGAAUUUAAAAUAUGUUGUAGUGACAGUGGAAUAUUUUUCCAAAUGGAUUGAGACGAAGCCUUUAGCCACAAUAACUUUGAUUACUGCUCAAAAGUUUUUCUAGCAAAAUAUUGUGUGUCGCUUCGGAGUGCCGAAGGCCAUUACCGUGGACAAUGGAGCACAGUUUGAUGCCGAAGCUUUUGGAGAGUUUUGUGAACAAAUUGGUACGAAGAUCCACUUUGCAUCAGUUCGGCAUCCGGAUUCAAAUGGACUUGUCGAAAGAGCUAAUGGCAUUAUAAUGACAGGAAUAAUGAAGUUAAUCUUCAACCAGCCCAGGGGGAAGUGGCCGGACGAAUUAAUCAAAGUGGUGUGGAGCCACAACACAACAAUAUCAAGGUCAACAGGUUUUACACCAUUCAAAUUGUUGUUUGGUGACGAAGCAAUAACCCCAGAAGAAGAUAAAGCGGGAUCAAUAAGAACAGUGGCUUCGGUAGAAGACGAAGCUGAUUAUUCUGUGGCAAAAGAUGCUAUAGAAGGGAUCAGGCUUCAGGCUGUAGAGAAUAUCAAUAAAUAUCAAGCCGAAACAAUAAAAUGGUGUGACAUAAAGGUUAGGUUAAAAAAUAUUAAGCCAGGACACUUGGUACUUCGAAGAGUUGCUAACCCAGACACAGUAGGCAAGGUGCAGUUGAAAUGGGAAGGGCCUUUCCUGGUAGUAUCUUCGUCAAGACCCGGUUCCUACAGGCUGAAGGAUAUGGACGGCAGCGAUAUUCCUAGAUCUUGGAAUGCGGAUGAGCUUCGGCGGUAUUAUGUGUAAACUGAUGUAAUCUUUUUUAUUCUCUCCUAUGGCACCCUUUUCCUUUCCAAAGGGGGAGAAAGGUUUUUAAUGGGGCCAUAGCAUGUAAUUUCUCUUUUCCUUAUAUCAGCUCUACAAGAGCAGUAUCCCCCGAAGAUGUAAAUGUAAAAACUGGGCAUGCACCAUCGAGUGCAACAAAAAAACACAGAGAAGCUCGAAAGACGUCCCUAAGGGGAUGCAGAGCACGACGAAGCUACAAAAAGCCGUUCCUAAGGGAGCACAACGUAAGUUUUCUGCUCAAAAGUCGUUCCUAAGGGAAUGCAGAGCUUACAGCGAAAAGUCAACGCUGAUUCCGCCGAAAUAAAAGGCGAAGAAGCUCCUGAGGGAGGCUUACAGCGAAAAGUCAAUGCUGAUUCCGCAUAAAUAAAAGGCAAAGAAGCUCCUAAGGGAGGCUUACAGCGAAAAGUCAGCGCUGAUACACCGGAAAAAUUAGCGAUGAAGCCGAAAAAUAAACGGCAAAGAUUUGUUAUUAUGGUUUCAUAUGUAUCUUCAAACAUUCAUUUGCACGAUACAUUACAUCAUACAUUUGCAUUCAUAAACAUUCACUUAAACAUACAUAGGAUCAUCAUCAGCAUAACAUACAAACUUGCUUCGGUUUCGAAAGAGAAGGCUUCGGAAAAAAGAGAAAAAGAGGCAAUUUUAUGCUUCGCUGUGUACGCAAAGAAGGGAAGGUGUUUUUCGCCUAUGGAUCAAAAGUAUUAAUUUCGUCCACACCAAAGCAUUUCAUACAUGGACAGAAAAGUAAGAUUAUAUUACAAAGUGAAAUUCAAUUACAUCAUACUUUAUACAAGUUAUCACAGGAGUUUUUUGAGCUAUUUUUACAAACUAUUUGAGCUUCGACAGCAUCUCUGGAGCUUCUUCCUUUUAUUCUGCAGCUUCAGCUUCAGCUUGGUUAACCUGUAUGUGAGUAUUAUAAGCUAAAUUCAAAAUUCAAAGGAAAAGGUAAUCAUAAGGUAUAAUAUUGUUACCAGCUUAAGGUGGUCUCGGGCUUCGUCACCAGCUUUCUCUCGCCCACCCUUUGUCCAUAUCACCUUUAUAAAUUUAUUCGCAAUGCUUCGGGCGAGGUUAGGAAUAUCAUCUAGAAUUGUUGGUGAUAGGCUGAAAUUGGGUCUGUUGAUAAUUUUUCCAUGCUCACAGCCAGAUUUCAGGAACGCAGCAGUGGUGCCCCGAGAAGCUACCAGGGCACAAAAGUCGUCGUGUCCAGCAAUAACAUCAUCAAGGUCAUCAAUCUCACCUUCGAUGUGUUCGAAGGCUCCUGGUAGAUCUUCAGCCGAAGGAAUAAAUUUUUCACUACUGGCCCCGACUGAAUAAAACACCUUCUUCAGUCGUUGAACACAUUGAUUGCUGAAUUUCAAACAUUUGUUCUGAAGGUCUAUCAAUGAUUUUUUCAGAACUAAACCAUUCUGGAUUUCAGCCUCAAGUUUUUCAUUAAGCUUCAGCUUUUCUUGUUCGGAACCGAGAAGCUUUGUAUUCAGUUCCGUUAUUUUAGCUUCGGCUUCCGCUAGUAAACCUUCAGUUGUUUGGAGUUCGAACUCUUUUUUCUCAAAAGCAGUUGUUUGAUCUUUUAUUUUGUUUUCUAAAUUUUCAAUUAUAACCUCCUGCUUUUUGUCUUCUAAAUCCUGUUGCAUCCUCAAAGCUUUGCUCAAUAGCAUACUCUGUACACGAACAACCUUCGUUAGAAAACAUUUUUUAUAAAUAAAAAGUUAGAGGGAGAUUGUUUACCUUGAAAUUGGAAUAAAACAAACUACCGACGAGGUGCUGUCGUCGGUAGCGGCUAAUAUCGGCUUCGAGCUUCGGGAAACCGAUACUCUUUGAUAGAGUACCGAUAACCUUUGCUCCGGUCUGAUCUCGGAUGCAGCCUAGCUUCUCAUCAUCAACACCUCCGAAGAGAAGUGCCCCUGUCCGAUAGCCGCAAGAAAUGGCAUACUCUUUUAAUUCUUCUUUUUCGGUUUUUGUUAAUUCUUGACCAACCAAGUUUUGAAAAUUGAAAAUUUCAUCCUCCAGUGUUUCUUCGGCAAUUUCUUUCUUUUUCUCGGCCUCUGGGGCCGAAGCCUCUUCGGUGGCUCCAGCAGCUUCUUCUGCGGCCAUGUCUAGCAGAAUUUUAUCUAUAUCAAGAGCCACACUUUCCAAAUUAAUGUCUUCAAUCCUAGUAGCUUCGGCAUCCGUGGCCUCCGAAGGAGCAGCUUCGGUAGCUGUUGUGCUUUCAAUAGCAGGCACCUUCGGAGCUGAAGCCCUUGGUGGUGUUGCUUCAAUCACUUCUGUCACAGUAACAAUCCUUUGCAUCUUUGGCCUAGGUGCCUUUGUUUUUGUGGGCUCCUUUUCCUUAUGAAAAAGCUUCGUCAGAUGAAGCCCCAAUGGACUUAGUUUGACAGGCAAAGUUUCAGUCAUUACCUUUAGGAUUUCCUCUAUUUCAGCAGCAGAAGAUGUCGCAGAAGUCUUCUCUUCCUCAUCAAUUGAUUUUUGCUUUGGGGUCGAGUCCUUUCUUUUCUUUGAAGCAACUGCUUUCGCCUCAGAUUUUUGUUUCUUCUUCUUUGACUGAUCUUUGUCGUCUUUAUUCAAAGCGCUAGCCACUCUUUUUCUUUUUUGCCCUUCGGCACCCUUGUCCAGUCGCUCAUAAUCAGGAUAUUCAAAGCCUAUAGCAUCCAUCACUCUGUUAAGCCUUCGUUUCGGACGGGUGCCGAAGGCCGCUGUCAUCAGUUGAUCUUCUUUUUUAGAGUAAUUUCCAAGAAUUUCGUUGCACAUUACUUCAAUUGUAUCCAGCCAUUCUUGGCAUGGUACUUUGAAAUGUUUUUUGAACUUGUAGUGGUAAGGCAACCGAAUAAGCUCCCCUUUCUUCUUCUCCCCCUACAGUUUUGGCAUUUCCCACUCCUUCAAAGUAGGAAAUACUCUGAAGGCCAAAAAUGCCUGCAUCAAGUCUCUAGUGCCAAUAUGAUCUGCAAUUACUCGAAAUUCAGCCAAGGCAAUCUGGCUCGGGCUCCCCCGUUCCAUGUUGCAUGGGGGUCUUGUUUCUCCGAAGGUCAGUUCUAACGGACUCUAGACCAAUUUAUCAUCAUCUUCGUCAACUUUGACAUAGAACCAUUCAGAUUUCCAUCCUGCUGUCCAUUUGCUUCGGUAGCUAAUCACUGGGAACUUUGUAGUUUUGCGGUAAGCAAAGUUGUAGCAGCCAAAAUUCUCAUGCAAACCAUCCCCCCUAGCCUUGGUUUGGUAGUGCAGUUCGUGUACUCGGCAAAAACCUUCGGAGAAUGGUUCCACCCCCUGGCUUCGGAGGGCCCAGAUAUAAACACUCAGCCUAAUGAUAGCGUUAGGCGUCAGCUGAUGAAGUUAGAUCCCAUAUUUCUUCAACACACCAGCAAUCAUCUUGUUCAGAGGAAAUCUUAAACCAGCUUUAAAAAGACUUUUGAAAACCACCACUUCAUUUUUUCCCGGCUUCGGGAUAGUUUCUUCUCCACCGAAACGAAUCAAUUCCUUCUUUGCUUCACUAAGAUAGCCCAACUUCACCAUCUUAGGAAAAUCAGCUUCGGAGAUAGUGGACUUUCCGAAGUCCAGGUGGCUAGGCUUGCUCGGCACUGCACUACUGUAAUCAUCUUCGGAAUCAGUUUCUUCAACGGCAGCAUGUUCUGCUUCGGCAGCAGGGAUGUCCUCCGGUGUUACCAACCCAGAGCGCUUCAUUGCUUCCAAAAUAGGAACAGUCUCGGUAGCUUCGGUCUCACCUCCCUCACGAUCAACCCGAGCAGUAGAGCGAACUCUGGCCAUUUGAUUAUGACACUUGAAAUUUUUGGUGUUGACUUUUCUGUUUUUUCGAAGCUCUUACUCUUGUGCCGAAGCAGAAUCACAAGCGAAGUUUCGUCUGAGCACGAUGAUUAAGCUUCGGCUAUGACUAAAAAUUUGGCAGCAAAACAGUGCAAUAGCAAUGAAUGCCGUGGUAACUUCACAACUACCCGUCUGUUUAUAUAGUGCCGCAGGUCGGAAGGUGAAUCGGCAAGGUCUCCGGCACUGAACAAACAGUCACCCGCACUCACUGAACGGUGGGCCACAGGGUCCGAGAAGGUGAUUCGCUGGCGCGCGCGUAAUUGGUGCGCGCGCGACGAUUAUUUUAAUUGUUUCUCGCCAACGAGCUCAGGGAAGGUGUUUUUUGGAUCUUCGGCGUCCCGAAGCCUAGAAGACUUUUUCACGGAUCAAGCUCGUUACGAAAAACGAUCUAGCACCGUGAAGAGGCUACUGUUGGGGGUAUGCUUUGUAGCCGAAGAUCCUAGAAAGAACACCUUCGAAAGGUCUUAUCAGAAGCAAGCGCCGAAGCUAUUAUCUAUAAAGCUUCGGCACAAAGACAAAUCUCAAGAUGAAGGGUCGAACCGACUUAAAGAUGAGUUGACUUAAAGACCCAUGAUGUUUUGUGUCAUUAUUGUAGUCGAUUGUAAAGGACAUAAAUGUAAUUUUGCACAGGUUGCAUCCUGUGCCUAUAAAUAGGUGAACAGUAUCCCGGCACUGUUCACACGAUCCUAUAAUCACGGACACAUUACGCUUGAAUUAUUGCUUUCUGCCAAGGCGAAGGUAUAAAUGUGCUUAAAUAUUAU
rnacentral:lncRNA from 1 species